AGCGCUGCUGGUGUCGGAAAGAGCAAUGUUAUCAAGGUUUUGUCAGAAUCUCAUGCUAUUGAAUGAGAUAAAGACUAUCAUACACAGAGGUCAUCUGGAGUACCAGAUUGGCGGAUAAUCAGAUCAUUAACCUGAAUUUACUUCACAGAGCUUGAGGCAGCUGAAUGGAACAAACUUCAGUGAGAUUCUCUAAACCACAUCCUUUGAAACAAGGUUGUAAGCACAUGUGCCUUUCUCAGAUUCUGCUGCCAGGAACAGGGAGAGCAGGAUUCCAGUCAAGUACAACAUGACUGGAACGGGAACUAAAACACAGGUAUUCGGUGACCCUUUCCAGCAGCAGCAAUGAAGAGAAUCUAACAGAGAGGUCUGUGGCUGGCACCAGGAGCUUGGAGGAGGAGGUAAGUCUGCAGUUUUGAUGAUCAAUGCUCAUGCGUGGAAAGGCAAUGUAAUGAGAUAACAAAGACCAACUUUAUCUGCAGUUCAUACCCCAGAAAAGGCAGAGCACACUGCAGGGUGGGAAAAAAGGACAUAGAAACAUAGAAAAAUGGGUGCAGGAUUUGG